AGUGAACGCUGGCGGUAGGCCUAACACAUGCAAGUCGAACGGCAGCACAGUAAGAGCUUGCUCUUACGGGUGGCGAGUGGCGGACGGGUGAGGAAUACAUCGGAAUCUACUUUUUCGUGGGGGAUAACGUAGGGAAACUUACGCUAAUACCGCAUACGACCUACGGGUGAAAGCAGGGGAUCUUCGGACCUUGCGCGAUUGAAUGAGCCGAUGUCGGAUUAGCUAGUUGGCGGGGUAAAGGCCCACCAAGGCGACGAUCCGUAGCUGGUCUGAGAGGAUGGUCAGCCACACUGGAACUGAGACACGGUCCAGACUCCUACGGGAGGCAGCAGUGGGGAAUAUUGGACAAUGGGCGCAAGCCUGAUCCAGCCAUACCGCGUGGGUGAAGAAGGCCUUCGGGUUGUAAAGCCCUUUUGUUGGGAAAGAAAAGCAGCAGGUUAAUACCCCGCUGUUCUGACGGUACCCAAAGAAUAAGCACCGGCCAACUUCGUG
rnacentral:rRNA from 1 species